AGAUGUGAGGGCGAUAUGGCUCUGACAUCUCUUACCUCAUUGAUCUCCAGGUUUGAUUUGGCUGAUUUGGCUAGCUAGGCAGGUGUCCCCUUCCUCUCUCACUACUCCAUGUGCAUCCCUUUUGAAGCUGCAUAGGAGGACCAUUUUUUGGUCAAGGGUAUAUGACUAGCUGCAGUCCUCUGCUAGAACCUCCAAACAAGCUCCCAAGGUUUAAGGUUUUAUAUAUAUAUAAGACUGGCUACAAAAUCUUUCACAGAUAAAAGUAUACCCCAUGAGUGUGCACAACAGAUCCCCCUUUUCAUG
ensembl:misc_RNA RN7SKP32 RN7SK pseudogene 32